ACACACACACACAUAUAUAUAUAGAUAGAUCUAUUUACAUACACUCACACAUAUAUAUGAGAUCUAUUUACAUUCGCACACACACAUAUAUGUAUAAACUAGUAUAGUACCAGUGAAAGAUGACAGGAUUUGAAUACAAAUAAGGGAUACAUUUGAGGAACAUUAUGAGCGUGACAAGAGUAAUAUAGAAAUUAACAUAAUAUACAGAGAGAAGCUGAUAUUAGAAGAGUAAUUAGGCAAAUGAAAGACAGAAAAGGAAAACAGCCAUCAAAAUGUGGCUUUAAGUAAAUCAGUAAACUAAACUCUUUAUUUCCUAAUUACUCUGACACCAUCAUAC